rnacentral:rRNA from 1 species
UACGUAGGGCGCAAGCGUUGUCCGGAAUUAUUGGGCGUAAAGAGCUCGUAGGCGGUCUGUCGCGUCGGCCGUGAAAACCUGCAGCUUAACUGUGGGCUUGCGGUCGAUACGGGCAUCACUGGAGUUCGGCAGGGGAGACUGGAAUUCCUGGUGUAGCGGUGAAAUGCGCAGAUAUCAGGAGGAACACCCGUGGCGGAAGGCGGGUCUCUGGGCCGAUACUGACGCUGAGAAGCGAAAGCGUGGGGAGCGAACAGG